rnacentral:rRNA from 1 species
AGGACGAACGCUGGCGGCGUGCUUAACACAUGCAAGUCGAGCGGUAAGGCUCCUUCGGGAGUACACGAGCGGCGAACGGGUGAGUAACACGUGAGCAAUCUGCCCUUCACAUCGGAACAACCAUUGGAAACGAUGGCUAAUACCGAAUACGACUUCGGACCGCAUGGUCUGAAGUGGAAAGCUCCGGCGGUGAAGGAUGAGCUCGCGGCCUAUCAGCUUGUUGGUGAGGUAAUAGCUCACCAAGGCGAUGACGGGUAGCCGGCCUGAGAGGGUGACCGGCCACACUGGGACUGAGACACGGCCCAGACUCCUACGGGAGGCAGCAGUGGGGAAUAUUGGACAAUGGGCGAAAGCCUGAUCCAGCAACGCCGCGUGAGGGAUGACGGCCUCGGUGUAAACGUCUUCUAGCGGGACGGAAGCGAAAGUAGACGGUACCCGACAGAAGAAGACACCGACCGAACCAACGUGCCAGCAGCCGCC